rnacentral:misc_RNA from 1 species
AAGUCGUAACAAGGUUUCCGUAGGUGAACCUGCGGAAGGAUCAUUAUUGAAUUCUGAGGGGGGAAGACGAGGAGUGCAGACUGUCGCUGGCCCCCAUGGGGCAUGUGCACGUCUUUCUUUUCGUUGACCUUUCUCUCACACAACACACCUGUGCACCUGUUGUAGGUCCUCGGAAGAGGAUCUAUGUUUUUUUCACAUCACACACCGUCGUAUGUCUAUAGAAUGUAUUGAAGACCGUCUGAUGACGGUCGAUAAAUAUAAAUCAUACAA